GACGAACGCUGGCGGCGUGCUUAACACAUGCAAGUCGUACGGUAAGGCCCUUUCGGGGGUACACGAGUGGCGAACGGGUGGGUAACACGUGAGUAACCUGCCCACAACUGUGUGAGAACUCUAGGAAACUGGUGCUAAUACUUGAUAGGUGCUCCUUCUUCAUGGUGGGGGGUGGAAAGCUCCGGGGGUUGGGGAUGGACUCGCGGCCUGUCAGCUUGUUGGUGGGGGAGUGGCUGACCAAGGAGGCCACGGGUAGCCGGCCGGAGAGGGUGACCGGCCACAUGGGGACGGGGUUAGGGCCCGGACUCCUACGGGGGGCGGCGGGGGGAAUAUUGGCCCAAGGGCGCGAGGCCGAUGCCGGCACGCCGCGGGCGGGAAGACCGGCUUCCGGUUGGAAAACGCUUUCCGCAGGGACGAAGCUUUUUGUGACGGUACCUGCAGAAGAAGCACCGGCUAACUACGUG
rnacentral:rRNA from 1 species